GUCUACAGCCAUACCACCUGUAUGCGCCCAAUCUCGUCUGAUCUCAGAAGCUAAGCAGGGUCGGGCCUGGUUAGUACUUGGAUGGGAGAUUUUAUAUCUUGUAGUGUUGAAUAUAUGGGUAUGUUGGCA
ensembl:rRNA 5S_rRNA 5S ribosomal RNA